AAAAAAAUACAUUUUUUUUUAAAAAUCCCUAAUCCUGAAAUAGAUAGUACCUUAAUACUUUUAAUUAAUUAGACAGAAGAUGUAUGAUUAAUGGUAUGCACAAAGAUAGCCUUUAUUUAUCAAGGUUCAAACUCUUCAAUAAAAUUUUCCAACUAUAUAUAUCUGCCUAAGAUUUAACACUCCCUUAGCAUUUAUGUUGGCCCUAUUAACAUUUGAUAGCUAGUAACUAAGCAAAAUCAAAACAAACAAAACUAAUAUGGCAUAAAUGUUAGUCACCAUGGCACAGUUGAAUAUGCUGAUG
rnacentral:misc_RNA from 1 species